rnacentral:lncRNA from 1 species
AGUGGCAAUUAAAAAAGAAAUAAACAUGAACUCCCCAAAUGAGCCACAAAAAUAAAUCAGCAUGUCUAAAUUUCAGAAUGAGAAACAAAGAUGCAAUUCUCUCCUCAGACCAAACGAAGCAGAGAUUUUCAAACUGCAGAGGUGCCACAGAAAAGGCUGAAUUCUCAAGCAUAGUGAGCUUAGACUUUAUAGCUAAAAUAGAAAUUUCAGCUUUUAGAGCUGAAAUAGAAGGUCUGAGCAUUAACAAAACAUUAGAACCUUGCAUUUAAAAAUUAGUAUGAGAAAUUUUUGUUAUUGUGCUGAGACCCUUACACACAUGAUUUCUUCUAGCCAAUACAGGCACAGAUUCAACAAAGAUGGUGCUUUAUUGUGAAAAUAGAAUAUUCACCUUGUCUUCUGACAUCAUAAAGACCACCCACAUUUGCACAGAUGCUGCUGCUAUAGUACUUUCAGGCAAGGCCAAGGCUUCUUGAAAGGCUGGUCAUGCCCCAGUGAUCAAUGAAGAACUCAGGGAUAUCCCAAAACUCAGGACUAUAAGGCACAAUGGGGGAGCAGGUACCAGGUGGCCAGCAUCCUAAAUGACUCUCAGCAGCUGCAGAGAAUGUAAAUAACAAGAGCUGCCUAUAAAUCUACCUCAGAAGACAAAGGGAAAAGCAAAACUCUGCCCAGGAAGACCUUACUUUACAAACCAGGUGACCAAAUUUCUAAAACAUCAUUCCCGUAAUCCCUGAUCAACAGAAAGGAAGCUCUGGAAGCAUGAAUGCUCAACCAUAUUUACCAGCCUUCCUGUGGUCAUUUGUCUGAGCUCCAGCUAGUGAAGUAUGAGUAGAACGGACAUGCACCACUUCCAGACCUGGCACCGGCAAACCCCCCAUGGCAACCCUCCAACCCUUUCCUCAACAACUGGACCACGCUGGAAAGGACUGAGGAUCUAGAGGAGGACAGGGCUGUAAUAUGGAAGGAGUUUGGUUUCUGAAGGACCAUGUAGCAGGCCACCUGCAGGGCGGGAACAUCUUUAAUAGGUUUGGAAUAGCAAGAAAUAAACUGGUCUUGUAUUAAACAACUAAU